rnacentral:rRNA from 1 species
UACGUAGGCAGCAAGCGUUGUUCGGAGUUACUGGGCGUAAAGGGUGUGUAGGCGGUUCUUAAGUUUGCUGUGAAAUCUCCCGGCUUAACCGGGAGGGUGCGGUGAAUACUGAGGGACUAGAGUACGGGGAGAGGAAAGUGGAAUUCCUGGUGUAGCGGUGAAAUGCGUAGAUAUCGAGGAGGAACCAGCCGGUAGGUCGGUCAAGCACGGGCCG